rnacentral:tRNA from 1 species
UUCAAAUAGUUUAAGAAAAAUAUCGGUCUGUGGAUCCGAAGAUAUAAAAUUUUAUUUUGGGUA